CCUACGGGAGGCAGCAGUGGGGAAUAUUGGGCAAUGGGCGCAAGCCUGACCCAGCAACGCCGCGUGAAGGAAGAAGGCUUUCGGGUUGUAAACUUCUUUUAUCAGGGACGAAGCAAGUGACGGUACCUGAUGAAUAAGCCAUGGCUAACUACGUGCCAGCAGCCGCGGUAAUACGAAGGUGGCAAGCGUUAACCGGAUUUGCUGGGUGUAAAGGGCGUGUAGGCGGGAGUGCAAGUCAGAUGUGAAAACUAUGGGCUCAACCCAUAUCCUGCAUUUGAAACUGUGCUUCUUGAGUGCUGGAGAGGCAAGCGGAAUUCCGGGUGUAGCGGUGAAAUGCGUAGAUAUACGGAAGAACACCGAUGGCGAAGGCGGAUUGCUGGACAGUAACUGACGCUGAGGCGCGAAAGUGUGGGGAGCGAACAGGAUUAGAUACCCGUGUAGUC
rnacentral:rRNA from 1 species